CAGCAGUGGGGAAUAUUGCACAAUGGGCGCAAGCCUGAUGCAGCCAUGCCGCGUGUAUGAAGAAGGCCUUCGGGUUGUAAAGUACUUUCAGCAGUGAGGAAGGUGGGUAUGUUAAUAGCAUACUCAUUUGACCGUUUAGCUGCAGAAGAAGCACCGGCUAACUCCGUGCCCAGCAGCCGCGGUAAUACGGAGGGUGCGAGCGGUUAAUCGGAAUUACUGGGCGUAAAGCGCAUGCAGGUGGUUUGUUAAGUCAGAUGUGAAAGCCCGGGGCUCAACCUCGGAAUUGCAUUUGAAACUGGCAAACUAGAGUACUGUAGAGGGGGUAGAAUUUCAGGUGUAGCGGUGAAAUGCGUAGAGAUCUGAAGGAAUACCGGUGGCGAAGGCGGCCCCCUGGACAGAUACUGACACUCAGAUGCGAAAGCGUGGGGAGCAAACAGGAUUAGAUACCCUGGUAG
rnacentral:rRNA from 1 species